rnacentral:rRNA from 1 species
UCGAGGAUCUUUUGCAAUGCCCGAAAGGGUGACAAUGCGACGCCGCGUGUGGGAUGAAGGCCUUCGGGUUGUAAACCACUGUCGACCUGGAUGAAGUUUCGUGGGUUAACAACCCAUGAAAUUGACGGUACAGGUGGAGGAAGCCACGACUAACUCUGUGCCAGCAGCCGCGGUGAUACAGAGGUGGCUAGCGUUGUUCGGAUUUACUGGGCGUAAAGGAUGCGUAGGUGGCUUUGUAUGUCAGAUGUGAAAUUUCAUUGCUCAACGAUGAAAGUGCAUUUGAAACUACUUGGCUUGAGUAUAGGAGGGGAGCAUGGAAUUCUUGGUGUAGCGGUGAAAUGCUUAGAUAUCACAAAGAACUCCAAUUGCGAAGGCAGCGUACCGGAGCGCAACUGACGCUGAAGCUCGAAAGUGCGGGUAUCGAACA